rnacentral:sRNA from 1 species
GCAGCGCUUGGGACGCGCCUGGGCACCGGGCUCGCUCCCUGCGCCCCGGAGCAGGCCAAGUUCGGGGCCAGGACGUCGGGAGGACCUGAGCCUGGCAGAGAGCAGGUGUGUGAUACAUGUCGUCAGGUGACUGACCGAGGAAUUCAGGGCAAACAGAUCAUCUCAAUUUGCCUUGCUGAUGUGCCAGCUGGGAUUACGCUGAUGGAUGAAGCUCUUCAGAGCUAUGGGCAAUAUCUACAUAUUUGAUUGUCAAGAAACUUCGUGUGGAAAUAGCUUCAAACUUACACAAAUUGCAAGAAUAAAAAAUAGUAUAAGGAUAUUCGUACACACUCUCUUUACUCAGAUUCACCUGUUAAUAUUUUGCUCCAUUUGCUCUCUAUGUGUGCAGAGUAUGUUUUUUGUUCUGAACCAUUUGAGAAGUUGCAUCUAUCCUGGUCCUCUACUUCUAAAUACUUCAGUGUGUAUUACCUAAGAAUUGGAAUUAAUCAGUUAUCACUGAUACUUUAACCUACUGUCCAUAUUCCAACUUUGUCAU